GAUGAACGCUAGCGGCAGGCUUAACACAUGCAAGUCGAGGGGUAUUGGUUUUCGGACCAAGAGACCGGCGCACGGGUGCGUAACGCGUAUGCAAUCUACCUUUUGCAGAGGGAUAGCCCCAGAGAAAUUUGGAUUAAUACCUCAUAGUAUAGUACUUUGGCAUCAAGGAACUAUUAAAGUCACAACGGCAAAAGAUGAGCAUGCGUCCCAUUAGCUAGUUGGUAAGGUAACGGCUUACCAAGGCUACGAUGGGUAGGGGUCCUGAGAGGGAGAUCCCCCCACACUGGUACUGAGACACGGACCAGACUCCUACGGGAGGCAGCAGUGAGGAAUAUUGGACAAUGGGCGCAAGCCUGAUCCAGCCAUGCCGCGUGCAGGAUGACGGUCCUAUGGAUUGUAAACUGCUUUUGUACAGGAAGAAACACUACUUCGUGAAGUAGCUUGACGGUACUGUAAGAAUAAGGAUCGGCUAACUCCGUGCCAGCAGCCGCGGC
rnacentral:rRNA from 1 species